GUGUUGUGUGACAGAGUUACUUCAGCCGAGUUCAUAGACUUAUUUCAGCAGAAGAAACUUGAUGAAACACUCCUCAUGAACCUGAAGACGACACUGUUGAUUUUGUUUGCGGUGCUCAAUGAUUCAGAGGAGAAGCAAAUUGUGAACCCUGAAGCUUUGCGAUGCAAGCUGGAAGGUGAGGAUCAAACCCACAAUAAUUAACCAAAAAGGAUCUUUUUGAUUGUUUGAAAGGAGGGUCUUGAUGAUUUGAAAGGAGAGGGUUGCUUUAUUUCUGUUGGAUGCUUAAUUAAAUCUUAUUUGGAGUUGAACAAGGAUUAGGUUAGCUGUAUAAUUAGUGGUAAACGCCUUUUUCUAAGGGUCAUUUAGACUCCUAUUACGAUUAAUUUGUUGUUUCUAAUUUGGACUUGUAGGAACAGACCAAAUAUGUUCACACGUGGCAUCGCUCAAGUCAUCAUCAUUUCAGACUGAAAAUCAGCCUUCGAGUGUCUGUUGAGUCAAUAAACCUUUCUAGAUAUAUCAAGUGCAAUGGAAAUUCAUGAGUUACAUAGAGAUUUUUAAACAUUUUGAAGAUUGCAACACCUGCAAGUGAGAUAGGCGGUGACGAAAUCAGAGCUGAUUUUGAAGCCUCUGAUGCCCCUGUUGUUGCAAGUUGCACCUGAGAACAAGUUUUUUUUUUCUUUGGGGUAAAAAACUGGCAACAUGUUCGGAGCUGACAAUUCAAUCCCUGAUGAACUAGAGAAGCAAAGCUCCGGUAAGGAAAUUGGUCAAGGUUGUGACAGGGAUGAUUGAUGGUGAAAUGGAUGCUAUUUCUUAUUGCAGCCUGUUCUCAAAGUUCUUGUUGGCAAAUGCAAUUGAUGGAGUAUUUUGAUUGGGAGGAGAGAUAAUGACAUGGCUUGACAAUUCUAGAACAGCCCAUCAUUAAUCCCAGAAAAAAUCCCGUUUCUGCUAAACAAUCACUUAUGGCAAGGCCAACUCUGUAAAUGGAAUUUGUGAUCCCUUCAAAUUGUACACAUUUUUUCUUUUUGAGGAAUUUAAUCAAACAGUAUUCUAAUGCAUUAUGAUAGCACUACACGCUUUUGUUGUAACAAAUUACAAGGAGGAAUUUGGAUUGAGUUUCUUGUAUAAGCACACCUUACACAAAUUUCGUAUAUUUUCUUCCAGCAAGUCUGUUUAUUAACCCCCUUAUCUGAAAUUAAUUGUUAAAAGUUUUGAUUCAUCUUUAAUCAGUGUCUUACCCUUGUUGAAUAACACUCCUCUUUCUAAUUUAUAUUUGAAGUUUGAGCUUUCAAUUUCAAUUGUGGGCUUUGAUUUUUCAGAUUUUGUUUGUCAAUUUCAGUUUGGACAAAGCAUAUAUGCAAACAAAGUAAGCAUUUUAUGUUAUACUUUUGAACUAGGUGUUGAUUUGAUUUAAUCAUAAGUUUUGCUGGUGCAUUUACUAGGCUAAUCAUUCAAUACUUUUGAUCAUAGAACUUCUUUGGUUGAUAUUAUCUUUGUUAAGUUUAACCAUAACUUUAGAGAGGGGACUUCAACAGAUUUAUAAUCUCAUCAUUAUAGUAUUAAAAAUUAGAGAUUAUUUAAGGCAUUGUCUAUUAUCUGAAUUCUGCUUACUUUUAGUUCAUAUGUUUACAUCUUAGCAUAUUCAUGUGAUUAGUGCGGCUCAUACCACAAAGGCAAUUUUAGGCUCAUCAAGUGCUAAGCAAUGUCAAGCUUCCAAAUGACAAGUUCUCUACAUAGUUUGAGACCUACACUUACUAGAUAUUAGAUCAUUUCGAUCAUUUCCAUAUGUUUAUAUGUAAUUGACAUGUUAUAACAUUUUUGUAGCGUUAUAUAAUUAUUUAGCAAUUUAAUUAUUUCUUUGCAACUUAAUUUUUUUUGUCAAUCAUACUAUUGUUGACUGCUAAAAACCAUCAAGAAAUAGUUCUCAAGUUAUAAAAAAAAAAAAAUUUUAAAAAAGAUUUGUUGAUGCUUAAAAAGCAUCAAGAACAGAUAGUUUCUUGACGGUUUUGUGACAUUUCAUAACUGUAGGGGGCUUUUUCUUCCGACAGCUGUAAAUGGGCUGGGCUGCCGUAAAGGGCAGACUGAUGAAAUUGUCCCCUUUUGUAUGAGCUCAAAAAUUAAGCCCCAAAAUACUUUGAAAGGGCAGCAGAGCCUUAGGAAGUAUUUUGGUUACCCUCACCAACUAAAACAACAACAACUUACAGGUAAUUACUUAAUGCUUAUGGAUGAACUCUUGAGCUUGGCAUGAGAGACAUAUGGCAUGGAAGCAAAAUCAACAUGAGUUUAGCACUGAGGGGAAAUUUAGGCUCUCUUGGGGGAAAAAGGGAAGUGUUAAGGUGAGAGAGGAGAAGUUUGUAGGAGAUUUAGCUAAGAAAGGAGAAAUAUAGAACAAUGCUCUUUUGGCAGCUUGACAGAUGCUCUGUUUGCCAGAAAAGGAAGAUGGAGAAGAAAUGUGAAUAGUGCAAGAGUUUGCUAGAUUUUUGCAGGUAAGAGAGGAAGCUUGCUCUCUGGGUCUGAGUUGAGUUUUUUUGUGUGGAAGAGACCUCAUUUUAUAGCCCUUGGAAACCAUCACUUCCCAAGAAACCCUAAUGGCUUCUACCCAUUUUGGCCAAGCUUUUCCCUUCCUUUCUCAUUUCCUUCCUUGACUUUACCCCUCUUGAUGAAAUCCCCUCUGCCUAUUUGCACCAUAUCAGAGUUUUUUGAAGCUCAAGGCCCCUUUUUCCCGCAGUUGUCUCAAUGGGAGACUUCCAUUCCCAGUCAUCUCCUUUAUUGCUUUCCUUUCUUUUUUUCAUGGCCAAGUUUGGUGGGGAAAGGAGUUGGGAUAUAUAUGCUGGUUUGAAGGGUGCUUCUCUUCCUGGCAUCUUACACACUAAUACCCCUUGGUUCCUUGAAUGUUUUGGCUUUGAAACUUGCUCUCCCCCCCCCCCCCCCCCCCCCCAUGUACUGGAACCUACCAGCAGCUCUAUUCAAUGAAUCUUCAGACCUUCUCUUCGUGGCUUUUAUUUUUUAUCAACGGGCUGGGGCUUUUGUGGCUCAUUGUGGCAAUUGUAUGGGCUAAGGUGGUUCAUUAAGUAAGUGGGCUAUUUUUAUUAAACAUUAGGCUUUUUGGUUGAGUCACUAGGCUAUUUUGAUUGGGCUAUUGGGCUAUUUUUUUCCUCUCUUGUGCUCACCCACAUGUUUGGACCAAAGAAAUGAGCUUGAGUCCUGAGGCUCCCAAGCGACCCGAGACUUUCCAUUUCUGGCCCAUCAAUGGGCCUCAUGUUGAUUUAUUACCAUCCAUACCACAACCCACUCAAGCAGGCUCCGGGCAUUUGAAUGACUUGGGCGCACUUAGGCUUGUAGUGUGGUUGGGUGCGAAAUAACGAUUUCGUGCUUGGCAUGUUUUAAUUUUAUCAUCCUUGGGAAAGGCUGCGAUGUUUGAUUUCGGCAUGGGCUUGUAGAGCUGGUAUGCUUUAUUUCAACUCCUAGCAUGACGAAUUAUUUAUUUAGCAUGGCACGUGAAUUACAACUCGCAUGUGGUGGGUUUUUGUGUACUACACCUUACGCCUCUUCUUAAUAGAACAUCGUUUUGGGCUGAUAAUUUAUUCGGGCCAAACCGUGAAUUUUUUGGGUCUCAAUAAUAACCAUCAUGAAACAUUACAUUUUGACUGACGUCAAGAAAUGGGGUAUCCCUUUCCUGAUAGUGGCAUCCAUGAUGCCUUCCAAGCAGUCAAUUAAGGGCUAUCGUGAUGCAUUUUAGUUGUCAGCAAAAGGUGUUUUUCUUGUACUGUAUUCACUCAAAGUCGUGUUUCAUUUAAGAUUAGUAGUAUGGUUGAAUACCAUUUGUUUUGUUAAAGAAUAUUAUACAUUAGGGAUUUUUGUAGAAAUGUCAUUUGAACUUAUACCUUAGUUUCAAUUUGUCACCUUGAAGAAAAAUUUAAGAGAAAUGUCACCUUAAUUUUUAAAAAUCCAUGAUUUGUCAUAUGACUUUAAAAUCAUCCAAUUUUCCAUCCAUUUUAAGGGUAUUUUAGUCUUUUCAUUUUGAAGGAAAAAAAAGAGAUGAAAAAAGAGACCUCUCUCUUACUUUGUCCCUCAACCCAACCCCACCCGCCCCCCAAAACACAUCACAUAGGAUUGCCUCCCCCUUCCCCACUUUUCUUUUUUCUUUUUGUCCUACUUUUCCACUAUGUUUAUGUUGAAGGAUCUAAAGUUUGCUUGGUCACCAUCUGUUACGUAGGCUUCCCAAUUGUUAGUUUGGGUGGGUUGUGGGAAUUUGUGUGCUCGAAACCCGAGACGAAUCUUGUGGAAUUCCCGACAUCACACCGAUGCCGGGCCCACUUCUGAACUAAAUUCUCUUUUCCAAAAUUAAGGAAAAAGAGUACGAGGCUUUCUGCCGAAAUUUCGACAGAGUAUUCCCUAUAAAUUUAACAUUUCAGCUUUGGUGGCCGUUCUCUCAUUUCAGCUUUGGUGGCCGGAUGAGAGAACGGUCGGCUAAAACGUGGCCAGCUGGCACUGCCGUCGCGAGAGAGAGAGAGAGAGAGAGAGAGAGAGAUUUUUAUCAAAUCAUUUUUGCCAAAAUUACGAUUAUGCAACUGAGGGUAUUUUGAUCGUAUCUUUUUCAUUAUAACUCUGAUUCAAGCCCACUACGUGUUUACGGACUCAUCUCGCCGUGCUCUAUGCAAUUGUAUAGUUGAAAUUCCCAAAUUCCACCCCAGUCAAAAAUUCAACUUUAAACCCUACAAAAUAUUAUAGGGGCAAAAUGGUCUUUUAUCUAAUUAAAUUAAUAAUUGAAAAUUUAUUUAGGACCGGGUUGUUACACUGUCGUUGAUGGACUGUGCGAUGACACUCACACAAAGUCCUUGAGAAUAAAACACACACACACCAUGAAGAGAGUAAAACAAAUACACAAGUACACAAAGAUUUAUAAAGGUUUGGCCUUCUGCCUACGUCCUCUUGGUGAUCCACCCGAGAAAUUCACUAGUACGUAAGAACAACUUUGGUUACAACUAAACCCCCUUAGCUUUCAUAAGAACCCUAGAUCUCUUUUCUCCCACCCUUGCUCCAACCCUUUGAUGCCCUUGUAAACACUCAAGAAUUCACCCUUGAAUUCUGUCAUGUGUUACAUCUUCUCUUCUCCCCUUUGUUAACCUAACCCUAAAAGUUAUAUUUAUAAUUCAUAGGACUUUAAGUACAAGUUAACUAGGAAUAGGAAACAUAAUAGACCUCAAAAAUUGGAGAAAAUAUGUUUAGAUCUCGUUAGGAAAUUGCACAACACGUGCGAUCCGCUCGAGCGCCUGCAAAAUGAUCCCUUUGUCGCUCAAGCUGCCGAUAGCUCAUGGGAUGGGGGAAUUAGAGAUUUUUUUUUUUUUCAAUUUUAAUUGUUUAAAAGAUAUACAAUUUUUUAAUAAUAAUUUUUCCAUUUUUAAAAUACCCUUGAAAAUAGAAAGAUUAAAAUGCCCUUAAAAAUGGAUGGAAAAUUGGAUUGCGUUAAGGUCAGUUGACAAAUCAUGGAUUUUGAAAAAUUAAGGUAACAUUUCUCUUAAAUUUUUCUUUAAAGUGACAAAUUAAAAUUGAGGUAUAAGUUCAAGUUACAUUUAUGCAAAAAUCCUUAUACAUUAUGAUAUUCUAACAAUAAAAUUGGCUAAAAUUGAUAUGUUCCCUCUUUAUUUUCUUUUUCUCUUUUCCUUUUCAUUUUAUGAUCCAAUCCUUUUCAUAUAUUUUUGUUCAAGACUUUGUUUUAGAAUGCUCUAUUACUAAUUUGGUACAGGUCCCUAAAAUCUCGGAGCCGCCUUAGUACAUUCAUAAUGUACAUGUUCAGAGUUCAAGAAUAAUGUAUAGAAUGUGAAAUUGACGAUGCCGGCCUUUAUGAGGCAACGUCUUUAUUUCUUUGGUUAUUACAGUUUAGAAUAUUUGCACAAAUGAGAUGAUUCCAAGCAUAAAGUCACAUUCGACCAAAAAGCAUGAAGUCACACACAAAAAGAACACGGACAAUUGCUAAGUUUAUCCUUGUACCCUUAUUUUAUUGAUCCGACCCAAUUGAAAAUUAAAAAAAGAUGAUAAAAAAUAUUGUUCACUACUUUAAAAUCUAUGAGUAGAGUCCUCCAUUUGAAAUUUCGUCAUUAUACAAAAUUGGAAUGAAAAAAGAAAAUCCUACAGCUAAAUUUGAUAUAUUUCCUUUUCAUUUUAUGCUGGGUGUUAGGGCUUGUCAAUGGGCCGGGCUAGGCUAGCCCGGCUCAAAUUUAAUGGGCUUGGGCUAGGCCGGGCCAAGCUUUAAAGAGGAGAGAGAAAAUAUCCGGCCGAGUUUUUUAAGAAAAUUCAAAGCCCAAGCCCGAAUCACUGCUGUCUAGCCCGGCCCAAAUUUAAUGAGCUUGGGCCAGGCCGAGCCAAGCUUUAAAGAGGAGAGAGAAAAUAUCCGGCCGAGUUUUUUAAGAAAAUUCAAAGCCCAAGCCCGAAUCACUGCUGUCAUUUCAUUGAUUUGUGACGAGCACAACCACCAAAUCAGAAUUUACUCACGAAAAUAUCAAGUAUGUCUAGCAAAUUUCAAUUUUGAAUAAUACACAAUUUCAAAAGGAGGACAUGUUGCAAGACAGCAUACCUUCUCUUGGGGUGCUUUUCAUUUUGCAACAUUUCUUUACGUGUAAUUUCCAGAGGAGGGUUUAUCAUUGUAUAUAGCUUUUCGGGUGGUUUGUCUACAAAACAAAUGUCACAAAGAAGGAGGAGAAACGGAAAAGAUUUACUUGGAAUGUCUCAAGUCUCCUUUGAGAUAAAGGCAUCGAAUGCACAACAUUGCUUUUGUGCUAUUUCAUAAUUAAAGUGUGCUUCCCAAGUCUCCUUUGUGUUUUGUAACUUGUAAUGUUUGUUUUUUUGUUUCCCCUGUUUUCCCUCUUAUAAAAGAAAUACAGGUCCAAACCACACGGAUCUACUUGCAUAAUAAUGGACCAAAUUUAUGAUUUUUAGAAAGAACCUUCUGCCGGUGGAAUCUUGGGCUACUGUUGUGGCUCUCCUCUGUGUGCCUCCUUUUUAGAACGGUAAAAUAUUCAAAAUACUAGAAAAUGUUCGUGAUUAAUAUAAAUAUUAAGAAUUGAAAUUAUUAAUUAAAUGAGGAUAAUAUGGUAAAUUCACACUUUUUUAUAUUAAAAAAAUUAAAAUUAAAAGAAAAAUCAGAUAAUUGAUAUUAUUUUUAUGGAACACAGCUACUCAUUAUCUUUUUUAAUUCUAAAAUAAAUUUAAAUUAAAGAAAAAAACCCCUCUCACAGGCACGGAAGCGCGUGCUCAGAGGCUAGUUAAAAAUAAUGAACUUUGCUUCUGAAGACGUCUAUACCAGACCCACUCAACCUGCUUUAUGAUUAUACAAAGAACAAACUCGUCCUUAGACUCAUUUGGUUAAACUUAGAAAAUAAUGAAACAAAAAUAUGCACUCCCACAAGUAACACAGCCAGGAUUGAAAACAACUGGACAAAGAAAGGCAUGUUAAAACAGAAUUUUCAACAACUCAUCACCAUUAGACAAGAAAAAGAAAAAUCAAUACAAAAACAGAAAGAACAGAGAAUAAAUGUGGUGGAAGAAAAACGUUGAAGCCAUUUGUGAAUCCAACAACACUACCACUCUGUUUCUCUCCUUUUGUUCAGGCGGAUCUGCAUAUAUCCUAAGGCGUAUUACGGAAACAACUUCUUGCCGUUAUACUUGAAUGUUGUGGAUGCUUCAACGUUGCCAUCUGGGUGGAGUGGAUUUGUCCAAUUCACCUUCACUAUGGUAUAUACGUCCAAAUUGUUGUUAUUUGAAAGGCUUCUAAAUUUUAACAUUUUGAUUUUUAAAUUUUGUUUAAAUAUUUCGGCCCACUUAGUUCUUCUCAAAAUAUGUCAUCAAUAUCGUUGAAAGGUUGAACUUAGUGAAUUAUUAUAGUGCAGUACUGUAGAAUAGACACAUGAUAUAAUUUGUCCACAUGUUAUAAUAUAAGUAAAUAUUUAUUGAUAUUAUUUCUAAAAAUAAGAAAUAUCAACCAUUAUAUCCUCCCAUAUUAUAAUACAUAUACAAAUUAUACCACAUUAUCAUACUCUAAUACCAUUUUAUAAUUUCUCGUACUUAGAGCGAGUCAAUGACAUUACAUAAUAUAUAAUUGUUCAUAUAAUGGGGCAACUAACGUGAUCAACAAGUUGUGGUGAUUAAUUUAACAUAAUAAAAAAUAUACCAUUUACUUGAGUGAUGUAACAAUUUGUUCUUUUAAAUUGGAUUGCCAUCACUUUAAUAUGAUAUGUUUCUUAUUAUAGUGUCCCAUGUUAAGUGCUUCAGCAUUGUUUGUGGUGUGUACACAAAUUUUCUUAUAAAAUGUUUUAAUGCUUCUCACAUGUAUAUCAGAUAUAGACAGUUGAUGUGACUUAGAAAUCAAAUUGUCAAUAAAGCAAAAAAAUAUAAUUGGUGAUUGAGGUCCAAUUUAAUAGAAAAUAGUCUUAACUUGUAUAUUAGAGGUUUCAGAUUCGAAUCCUCACUGCAUUAUUGUUGUAUACGUACACGAGAAAUCCUCUUCUCCAAUAAUUUAGACUAUCACUUAUACUAAAAAAAUAUAUAUAUAUAAUGACUUUUACGGAUGCAAACAUAAAAUUACACCAAACAAUAAUGGAAUAGAAAGAUGCAAGUUAUUUUUUUUUUUUUUACAUCUAAAGUAUACUUUAUAUAUAUAUUUAUUAUGGGUGUUAUAACCGUUUAAUUUUCAGUUUUUAUUUUCUAUUUAUUGUUUUAAUUUUUAUGGUUUAAUGUGUAUGAAGAUUACAAGUAUUGGAUGUCUACCACUCCUCCUUCACAUCUGAAACAAACCACCAUCUCAUUUCUGUAUUUUCAUACUUUCAUAUAUUUUCUACUUUCCAGAUUAUUAUUUUUGGGCAACGGUUCUGUGACUUGCAGAUUUCUAUCCGAUUGUUAACAUGCUCAUAGCGGACCUUGAGCUUGCGUAUUGGGGAUCGUAUCUUGGAGCCUUAUAGACCUUUAUUACCUGCAUGUAGGGAGGUUAUAAAUGCUUUAGGUCAGCAUCUUUGACGUGCUUUUGCUUUCUUUUUUUUUUUACUUAUUUCUUCGUUUCUUUAUUUUUACUUUACUUUUAAAUUUUUAUUUUAUGUAUUAUUUAUAUUUAAAAGUUUUGAAUAAGAGUUUUACAGAAAAGGAAAAACACAAUUUCAAAUAACACAAAUUUCUCGUUUUUGGUUCUUAAAAUAAAUGAAUUUUUUACUUAUUUGUGAACUGAAAUGCCUCUAAAAAAAUAAUGAUAGUUUGAAGAAUUUGAUAGAAAUUAAAAAAUAUCCUCAAAUUACUUGGAAUUGAAGACCACAUAGGCAAAAACACCAUUUUGGACAAAGGCUGGUGAUAAUAGUCGAUAUCAUCUUUAAGUACUUUAAUAUGAUAUGUUUCUUAUUAUAGUGUCCCAUGUUAAGUGUUUCAGCAUUGUUUGUGGUGUGUACACAAAUUUUCUUAUAAAAUGUUUUAAUGCUUCUCACAUGUAUAUCAGAUAUAGACAGUUGAUGUGACUUAGAAAUCAAAUUGUCAAUAAAGCAAAAAAAUAUAAUUGGUGAUCGAGGUCCAAUUUAAUAGAAAAUAGUCUUAACUUGUAUAUUAGAGGUCUCAUAUUCGAAUCCUCACUGCAUUAUUAUUGUAUGCGUACAUGAGAAAUCCUCUUUCCUAAUAAUUUAGACUAUCACUUAUACUAAAAUAUAUAUAUAAUGACUUUUACGAAUGCAAACAUAAAAUUACACCAAACAAUAAUGGAAUAGAAAGAUGGAAGUUUUUUUUUUUUUUCCUACGUCUAAAGUAUACUUUAUACAGUCCCGAUCUCUUGGACCACAGGAGUCCAAGAGAUUGUGGUCACCCACCGUUGGAUAUUAAUCCAAUGGUUCAAAAUGAUAUAUAUAAAUGCAAUAUGACAUAAAUGAUUAUUACCCGAUCCAAGUCAACCGUUGAAUUUACAUUCAACGGUGGGUGACCAUAAAUCUCUUGGACUACAGGGGUCCAAGAGAUCAGGACUGAUACUUUAUAUAUAUAUAUAUAUAUAUUUAUUUAUUAUGGGAGUUAUAACUGUUUAGUUUUCAGUUUUUAUUUUCUAUUUAUUGUUUUAAUUUUUAUGGUUUAAUGUGUAUGGAGAUUACAAAUAUUGGAUGUCUAUAAAGGGCCACUCCUCCUUCACAUCUGAAACAAACUACCAUCUCAUUUCUGUAUUUUCAUACUUUCAUAUAUUUUCUACUGUCCAGAUUAUUAUUUUUGGGCAACGGUUCUGUGACUUGGAGAUUUCUAUCCGAUUGUUAACAUGCUCAUAGCGGACCUUGAGCUUGCGUAUUAGGGAUCGUAUCUUGGAGCCUUGUAGACCUUUAUUACCUGCAUGUAGGGAGGGUACAAAUGCUUUAGGUCAGCGUCUUCGACGUACUUUUGCUUUCUUAUUUCUUCGUUUCUUUAUUUUUGCUUUACUUUUAAAUCUUUAUUUUAUGUAUUAUUUAUAUUUAAAAGUUUGAAUAAGAGUUUUACAGAAAAGGAAAAAUACAAUUUCAAAUAACACAAAUUUCUCGUUUUUUGUUCUUAAAAAAGAAGAAGCAUUGAUUGGGGAGUUAUGGUAAACUCAAUUUCAAUGGUUGCGAUGAGAGGCGGUGGCGGCGAGGAGAGGACGAAGGCUUUGCUGCCGACGGGGUGGUGUGGGUGGGUGGAGACCUCGGCUGGCUGCUUGGUCCUGGGUUCUCCUUUAAUUCUCUGUUUUCUUUUUUCUUUUUCUUUUUCUCUUAGAGUUAUUGAUGUUAAGUGAAUGGACAGAUGCCAAAAUAGGGACAGAAGUAGGGGUGGGCAUCAAUCCGGCCGAUCCGGUCAAUCCGGCCGAACCGAUUAUAUUGGAUUGGUUUGGUUUGGUUUUGACCAAAGAAAAAGUCAACAUUUUGAAAAACCGAACCGAACCGGUUUGGUUUGGUUCAGCUGUGGUUUGAGAGUUUUAAAAACUGUCCUAAACCGAACCGGACCGAUUAUAAAUCAAUUUAUUAUUUAUUUAAUUUAGUUUACAUGUGGCAAGGUUUGUGUGCGUUUUGUGAGUCCGCGUAUCUGAAUGUUGGUGCACGUUUUGAUCUUCUAAUUUGCAUAUCCCAGUUAUUUGUGUGUGCUUGUAUUUCCCUCUCUUUCUAUCUCUACUAUGUGUGUUUGCUCUUUGUGUUGUGUGGCUCUUCUUACUCUAUCUAUCUUAAUUAAUGGGUCCAUUUCAUAAUUUCAUACGCAUUCAAACUCCACCUCUGUGAUAAAAACAUUUACCUCUUUGUGAUAAAAGCUUUUCAUUUGUUUGUAUUUCUCUUUGGCUUUUUGACUCACUCACUGUCUUUCUUUCUUUUAAUGCUACUUGUGAUGAAUGCAAUGAGUAAAUUUAAUGCUACUUGGUUAAUGCAAAUUUUGUAUAUGUUUGUUUUGAUGGAAAUUGUGAACUUAGAUGCAUGCUAGACAUUGGACAACCUUUGAAUAAAUGGAAUGAUGUUGUAUUAGCCUUUGAUGGAAUGAAAUGAAAUGAUAUAAUGGCAAAAUGUUAGCAUUAUAAUGUAAGAGCAGGUUGAAAAAUGCAUGGUUUUGUGUUAGGCACAAACCGGCCGAACCAAUCCGAACCAAACCGAUUACAAGUGGUUUGGAUUGGUUCGGUUUCCAUUAUGAUUUUAGGCUAAUCCGAACCAAACCGGACCGUUAUUUUCUUAUUGGUUCAGCUGUGGUUUGAGAGUAAAACCGAACCAAUCCGGACCGUGCCCACCCCUAGACAGAAGAUGUGAACCCAAUUAUAUACAGCUGAUUACAUAAAGUAACAAAUUAAUUAAUACUUGAGUGGAGGACAGGCUUGAGUGGAAGAAUUGAUUAAGGCUUGAGUGGAAGACCAACUUCAGUGGAGGAAAGUAUAGAUAAGGAAAGCAUGCCUCGUUUAACGGCUUUAUCUAAUAAAGAUUAGUUGUUGGCACUUGGAGUUUCUUAGGAAUGCUGGUUUUGUUUCCUUGGUGGACUUGAAAGGUGGUGCGUUGGCUCGGACAUCUCCCUAGUAAUUAAUCGAAGGUGGAAUCUUACAAGACAUACAGCUGCUCAUUAGCUGAAUAUCUCGCUCUCUUUAAAGAGAUCGAAGCAAACUGCAAUUUGCAAUUUGUGUGAUUCAAGCAUGAAUAUCUGAUAUAGUAACUAUACCAUUUGUUGGUUUGAUAAGAAAAGUUUGGUUAGCGAGGAUGAAACCAUAAAGUUCUCCAAAACACACAAAAAACACGAACAAUUGCUAAGUUUAUUCUUGAGUUCACACAUAUUUGUACAAAUGAGAUUACUCCAAGCAUGACUAUACCAUUUGUUGGUUUGAUAUGAAAAGUACGGGCAACGAGGAUAAAACCAUACAAACACACACAAAGAACGUGGACAAUAUACUAAGUUUAUCUUUGCGUUAUUGAUCCGACCUAACUGUAAAAUAAAAAAGAUAAAAAUAUAUAAUGUUCACUACUUAGAUCUAUGAGCACUAAAGUCCUCCUUUUGAAAUUGCACAAAACAUCACUUUUGGUCUUUGGUAAAUUUUUAAAAUAAAUGAAUUUUUUACUUAUUUGUGAACUGAAAUGCCUCUAAAAAAAUAAUGAUAGUUUGAAGAAUUUGAUAGAAAUAAAAAAAUAUCCUCAAAUUACUUGGAAUUGAAGACCACAUAGGCAAAAACACCAAAUUGCAACCUCACUUUAAUGAUAAAAAUGGUAAACUACAAAGACAAAAAUGACGUUUUGCCUUAUACAUAAUUGGAAUUUGCUGGUGAUAAUAGUCUACCAUCUUUUGUCGAUUUGCUGGUGAUAAUAGUCUAUCAUCUUUUGUCGGUCCGACCUAAAAAGAAGAAAAAGUUGAUGGCAUCUUGUACCAUUUUUGCCAAUGUGGGCCCAAACAAUUUGAAGAAGUCCACCGGCAAUUUCUCAAAAGCUAUUGUGUGAGUGUGAAGCUAAACCAAUAUUAUUUUGCAUAUACGACUCCACAUCCCCAUGUGAUGUGAGGCUACAAAAGUGUUUCCAAAACGAAAUAUGAUAUUUCAAAACGAAGCUAUGUAUAGAGUCAUUUGUAUUUGCUUUCACAAUAACAUUUGAUUUGUGAAAGCAUUUUAUAUUUAUACAUUCUGAUAUUCUAACAAAUAAAUUGACUAAAUUUGGCCAACAGGAUUUAGCCGAAUAGAAAAGUCCUUAUUUAUAGACUAGUGGUUUCAAAUUUAAAGUUUAGACUAUCGCAUGUAUUUAAAAAAAAAAAAACAAUUGGCUUAAUUUGAUAUAUUUCCUUUUUUUCCUUUUUCAUUUUAUACUGGGUGCCGUUAUUAAGUUUUAUCCUUAUUUUUUGUUGAAAAGAAAAUUGAAAAAAAAUAAUAAUUCCUACAGCUAGCAACUUCUCCACCUUCCCUUCUUCGCAACUAGGGAUGCCAUUGCAAGGUCACCAUCUCAGAUUAAGUCCUCCUUUUAAAAUUGUGUCGUUAUUCAGAAUUGGAAUAUAAUCCUGUACCACUUUGGCCACUUUUGAAGAUGUUCACCGACAAUUUCUCAAAAGCUAUUAAGCUGUACAUCCACAAUAUUAUUGCAUCCAUCCCCAUGUGAGGCUACAGAAAAAUUUUGAAAACGAAACUGGAUAUUUUAUCUCUAACAACAGCUUUCAUACUUCGUUUACCCUGUGUUUCCAAGUUGUGCUAGCUAUUUGCAAACCUUGGAAUAUUACUUCAUCCAAAUCCCUUGCAGAGAAGAGCAAGAUAUGGCUUUGAUCGGAGAAGCCCUCAUCUCCGCUACCAUCCAGACGUUUUGUGACAAAAUUGCUUCGCCUGAGUUCACCGACUUAUUUCGGCAGAAAAAGCUCGAUGAACAACUCCUCAACAAGCUGAAGACGACGCUGUUGACCUUGUCCGUAGUGCUUAAUGAUGCAGAGGAGAAGCAAAUUAAGGAACCUUUAGUGAGAGACUGGCUUGACAAUCUCAGACAUAAUGUCUUGGCUGCGGAGGACUUACUGGAUGAGAUCGACACUGAAGCUUUGCGAUGCAAGCUGGAAGAAGGUGAAGGUCAAACCCACAAUUUAACCAAGAAGGUACGUGAUUUUUAUCAACGCAUGAAUGUUGAGAUGAAAGAUUUAUUAGAAAGAUUAGAACAAUUUGUACAAGAGAAAAGUGCUCUUGGUUUGAGAGAAGGUGCUGGGAGGAAGGUUUCACAAAGAAGAACAACUUCCUUGGUUCAUGAACCUUGUGUCUAUGGUAGAGAUGAAGUCAAAGAAAAUCUGUUACAAAGAAGAGGAUUUGCCGUCAUCUCUUUCUCAUCUGAGUAUCUCGCGGUGUCCUGCCCUGGAGAAAAGGUAUAAGAAUAAGACGGGACAAGAUUGGGCAAAGAUAUCUCACAUUCCUUGCAUCAAGAUAGGAUACGAACUGAUCAUAUAAUAUGAGCUAUUCCAUAUUUCACUCUCAACCCUCAACUCUCAAAUCAAAGUCAGGUGAGGUAUGUGCCUUCUCUUACUUUAAAAAACUGCUUCUCUUCUUCUAAUUGAAUACAAAAACCAAAACACAUAUUCUCUUUCUCUUCCAAAAACCCAAAUACAUGUUGAACAUUGCCAAAUUUGAUCUCCAAAUUCCUAAUUAUUUCACGCUUUUUGUUAUUUUGUUGCUUAGUAAAUUAUGGUUGCUGGUCACAAAUUAUAGUCUGUUAAUAGGUUCAUGCCAUGAAUUAAUCUUUGGACUUUCCCAGGUACUGCAGGUUUGUUAUUAAUGUUGUGGCCUGAUAUUCGUCGUAUCAAUAGGUUGUCUUACGUUGAGGAGAGAGAUCGAUCAGCAAUUACAAAAUUGUUAGUGAAUUUAGCUUGUUUAUCAUCUCUCUCCUUUUGUUUGUUAAGUUUGGUUGUUCUAGGUUAAACCCUUGUCCCCGCAUUUCACAGCAACUCUAUGUUAUUCCACUCUGUUUAGUUUCAUUUAUGUUGUGAUUCGACUGCUGCUGUAUUUUAGAUUUCGUUCAUGUAAUGCUAGGAUGUUUAAUCUCUUAUCUGUGGUGGUAGUUGAGUAGUCUAGCUAAUCCAAUGAUAACUUGUCCCCUGUUUUGUAUUGUUUUUAUUUCUCUGGUAAUGAAAGCACGUUUCUUAUAAAUAAAUAAAAAAUAUUUCAUUGAUAUUCAUUGCUUAUUUUGAACUGCAGAAGCCUACUUUUGUCAGAGUCAGUAGAUGCCAGAAUGAAGUCAUUGCCUAAACACAUUGGCACCCUCACAGCCUUCGACAUUUUGGGAUAUAUGAUCUUCAAAAUCUUGUGUCAUUUGCCUCCCAACCUGCAAUAUUUUCAUAUUUUAAAUUGUGACAGACUGAGCCCUUUGGUGGGAGAUUACUGGGGUUUGCAAGGACUUGGUGGCAAUAUCUUGUAGACGUUUCUCAAGGAACAGCUGCUCAAUACCACUCUUCACACUCUAUAUAUUAUGGCCUGUCAGUCUAUAAUUCCUGCCAGGAGAGGAACUUGAACGCCUCUCUUCGCUGCAAAGGCUACAUAUUUGUGGGUGUGACAAUAUCCAAUUCCUGCCAGAAGAGUGUUUGCUGCCAUCUCUUUCUUAUCUGUGCAUCAACCAUUGUUUUGCCAUGUAGAAAAGGUAUCUCACAUUCCUUGCGUCAAGAUAGGCGAAGAAGUGAUCAUAAGAUAUGAGCUCUCUCUCCCUCUCGCUCACAUACAAUGUACUUAACACAAACACUCAAUCUGAUUUCUAUUAUUAUUUUGCUCAGUAAAUUUUGUUUAAAUUUGCUUUAUUUCUCAUUGCACUUGUUCUGCUGAUCACAACUUAUAUCCUAUUUAAAUCUCAAAUGCUGAAUAAUGAGCAGUCUUUUCGCAGGACAACAUAUCUUCUCUUGGAGAGCUAUUCAUUUGCAAGGUUUCUUUAUGGGUCAUUUCCAGAGGAGGGUUUACUAUUUAAUAGAAAGGUUCACCUGGAAUAUCUCAACUGACACAUUCCCAAAUACAGGCAUUGAAUGCACAACAUUUUGAGGUACUAUUUUUGUAAUAAAAAUGUACUUGAGUCUCAUUUGAGCUAGUUUAAAUUGUAUUCAAUGUCUAUGGAUAACCUGUGAGCUUAAGUUGUAAGAUAAAACUCACAGUAUAUUAUUAGGGUUUAGGGUUCAACUGUUCAACAGGUGAGCUUAAGUUGUACUUUCCUAGGUACUGCAUGUAUAUAAUCUUAGUAUCAACACUUGGUCUUAUGUGGACAAGAGAGAACAUUUGAGGAAUUACAAAAUCUUCUUAGUGAAUUAAUGUUGUUUCAGCUCUGUUUGUCAUCCCUCACAUUUUCUUUGUUAAGCCUUGAUUUUUUAUUAGACAUAAGAAAAAAUGCUUUUAUAAGACAGGAGAUGAAUGCUUUUAUAUGUUGAUGUCGUAGUCAGUCUUCAACCACACUCUGUUUUUAGAAUUCAUUUAUGUUACUAGUUGAGUGCUGCUGUAUUUUAUAUUUCGUUCCUGUAAUGUUUGGAUGUUUAGCUUGAGCAGUCUAGCUUAUCCAGUAGAUAACUUGUUCCCUGUUUUGUAAUGUUUUUGUUUCCUCUAAUGAAAGCAGGUUUUACUUAUCUUGAACUGCAGAAGCCUACUUUUUGACAUAGGUGGCAUGGCACAAACUCGCAUCCGCAUUUCCUUCCCCAUUGGCAUGCUGUCUCAUCUUUUGUAUUCUGUUACCAGCUUGAAGCUUGUGUAGACAUGUUAUGCUCUUGUAAUUCUGAUCACAAACAUCACUUGACAAAUGGAAAGUCACAAUCAGAUCUUUCAGGUGAUCGGGAGGUUUACUUUCUAACAUUUGUUUUCAUUGGGGGGAGGACAACAAUACAGAAUUUAAAAUUUCUGAUAAUCAAUAGUAGUUUGCAUAUAUCAGCUGGGACCUGUAUGACUGUAUUAUGUAAUUAAUUAUUUCUCUUAUUGUUUUGGUACUGUUAAAAGGAGUUAGCCACAAAAUAAAAAAGGAGGCCUCUUAUUUCAUACAAUUUUUCAAAAGUGAUCAUUCAUCCGUUUCUUUUUCAACAAUAGAGGAAUGUAUACUAAUCGUCUGGUCCAUCUGCUGCUUCACUCCCUAGUAGCUUCAUCUCCUGUCCUUUGCUUUAUUUCUGUUGAUGAAUGUUUUGUCUGGGUUAUUUAUUUUCAUUUCAUGUCCAUUGCUUCAUUUCUGUUUGGAUUCUGUCCUGGACUUGAACAAGGGUUAGGUUAGCUGUAUAAUUUGCGGUUUUAUAUACACAACUGUCUACAUUGAUUAAAACCAGCAUUAUUCUAAGGUUCAUUUAGAAUGUAUUAUCACCAAAAUUAUAAAGUAUACUUCUAUUACAAUUAAUUUGUUGAUUCUAAUUUGGACUUGUAGGAACAGACCAAACAUGUUCAUACGUGGCAUUGCUCAAGUCAUCAUCAUUCGGGACAGAGAAUAAGCCUUCAAAUGUCUGCUGAGUCAAUGAACCUUUCUAGAUAUCUCAAGUGUAGUGGAAAUUGAUGAGUUACAAAGGAUUUUUAAACAUUUUCUACUGGAGGCUAGAAAUGCUUCAAAUAAAUGACUGUGUUGCAAUUAUUUUGUAGGAUCAAAGACUCUGCAAAGAGGUAAGAAAGUCAUCAUCAAGUAACUUUGCUCUUCAAACUUUUUAAUUUUAUUUUUAAAUAUCAGUAAUAACUGGGAAAGUUUGCAUUUCCUUAAAUUGCUCAUUCUUACAUCUUUUAUAGUUUGUUGAUCUUGGGCAAGUGGAGAGAGAGGCGUCAAGUGAUACACAACAACCAUUUUCUGUGAGCUGAUUUGAUAAAGAGAAAUGGUAUGCUUUCUUGUCUUAAGCGGUGUGUUCUGCAAUUAUUUGAAACAAAGGAUGCCGCACUUCAAGUUCGAGAAAAUCAGGUAUUUUAGUAUUUUAUUCUGGAGAAAUUUGAUUUAUGUAGAAACUUGAACAUGUAAAUGAGAGAAAAAAAAAUUUAUAUAUAUAUAUAUUAUAUUGUAUAUGCUCUUAAUGAGUUAAUAUGGUGCUUGCUCCUGGUUGGAAAUUUAUGUAGUCAUCUACCUAUGAUCAAAUAAAGAUGAAAAAUAAAAUAAAAUUGAGAGCAUCUUCCUCUCCCCUGCUUUGCUCAUCCCUUGUUCUUCCACUUCAGCCCCACUAUUACACCAUUUUUUCAGCCACAAUUAUAAUAGCUCCAUGAGCAUUAAGUCCUUUUCAAAUUCUGCUGACAUUCAAAAUUGGAAUUGCUGGUGAUAUAUGAUAGCAUCCUUGUCCGACCAAAAAGAAAAAAAAAAAAAGUUGAUAGCAUAUUGUACCAUUUUGGCCAGUGUACGCAAUAUUAUUGCAUCCAACUUUGCAUAUUAACAUCAGUGGCCACAGUUCCAUGAUUUGAGUGCACAGAAAGGUUUCAAAAGUUGUCCCACAAAGAACAGUCGUUCAAAGUGAAAGAGAGUUUUCAAAGCUUAGUUACAAGUUCAUGUUAUUUACAAUAUCAAAAAGCUUUCAUACUUGCUUACAAACCUGUAUUUCCAAGUUCUGCAAACCUUGGAAUAUCACUUCAUCCAAAUCCCCUUCCAAAGCAGGAAAAAUGGCAGCAGCUUUGAUUGGAGAGGCUCUCAUCUCUGCUUCUAUCGAGUUGUUGUGUGACAGAGUUACUUCAGCCGAGUUCAUAGACUUAUUUCAGCAGAAGAAACUUGAUGAAACACUCCUCAUGAACCUGAAGACGACACUGUUGAUUUUGUUUGCGGUGCUCAAUGAUUCAGAGGAGAAGCAAAUUGUGAACCCUGCUGUGAGAGAGUGGCUUAACAGCUCAAGCAUGCUGUCUUUGAUGCAGAGGACUUACUUGAUGAGAUUGACACUGAAGCUUUGCGAUGCAAG
rnacentral:lncRNA from 1 species